AUAAGAGGUCCCGCCUGCCCGGUGACGACUCUGUUUAACGGCCGCGGUAUCCUAACCGUGCAAAGGUAGCGCAAUCACUUGUCUUUUAAAUGAAGACCUGUAUGAAUGGCAUAACGAGGGCUUAACUGUCUCCUUUUUCAAGUCAAUGAAAUUGAUCUCCCCGUGCAGAAGCGGGGAUGUCUACAUAAGACGAGAAGACCCUAUGGAGCUUUAGACACAAGACAGACCACGUCACUCACCCCAAUAAAGGGCUAAAACCAGAAAGACCCUGUUCUUCUGUCUUCGGUUGGGGCGACCAUGGGGUAACAAAAACCCCCCACGUGGAUUGGGAGCUUUACCCUCUCUCUUCCUCCCAAAAUCAAGAGCGACAGCUCUAAUUAACAGAACUUCUGACCAAAAAUGAUCCGGCAACGCCGAUCAACGGACCAAGUUACCCUAGGGAUAACAGCGCAAUCCUCUUUUAGAGCCCAUAUCGACAAGAGGGUUUACGACCUCGAUGUUGGAUCAGGACAUCCUAAUGGUGCAGCCGCUAUUAAGGGUUCGUUUGUUCAACGAUUAAAGUCCUACGUGAUC
rnacentral:rRNA from 1 species